CGGUUGUAAUUUUCAAAAACCUAAUAACUUGAAAUUCUCUUCGAUUAUUGAUUAGAUUUGCAUCGGUUAUUAGAUCUGUAAUGAACUUUUCAUUUUCAAACAUUUGAGCUAAAGAUUUUAAAGAAAAAAUGAUGAAAUUUUUUCUAGGGUUCGUGACUGAUUAUCGAUUAAAUUGUAACUUCAGAUUCGUAACAACAGAGCCUAGAUUAAUGUUACCCAUCAAUUUCUUGUAUAACACUAACUAGUUUUAAUUUUCGGACCUAAUCACAUUCUUUUGGUUUUUGAUUUCUAGUAUGAUCUAAUAGUGCAUAUAAAUCGCACUAAGAUAAGAUAAGUUUGCAUGUUUUUUUUUUGUUUUUUUUUUUUGAUUGAUUUGAUUUAUUUUUUCUUUGGUUUAUCAGAAUGUUUUUUAGUUUUUGUUUCUUUAUUUUAUUCAUUUUUGGUGAGUAAUGUUUAGAAACGUUUUGAUUCAAUUUUGCUUAUAUCCAAGAGAGCAUAUAUUGUAUAUUGUUCAGUAUAACUUUAGUAAUGCGAUUAAAUUGCCUGGUUUUUGUUCAUUUUGUGUAUAAUCUAACAGUGCAUAUACACUAUAUUGUUCAAUUUCAGUUCAAUAUUGUUUUAGUUCAUUCUUUUUUCUAUAAUUGAUUAGUGAAUACACACUAUACUGUUCAAUGUCAAUUCAGCAAUGUCUUCGUUAAUUUUUUUUCCUAUAAUUGAUCAGUGCAUAUACACUAUACUUUUCAGUAUAAGCUCAGUAUGCCAUGUUUUCUUUAAUCAUCUUUGUAAUAAUUUCACUUCUGUUUGUAGACAGUAUAGUGCAAUUAUACUCGAAUUGUCAAAAGUAUAGUUGAACUGCACUCCCUUUUUUACUCAAUGCAGGGAAACUGCACUGGUAGUGCGGCGAAACUCUACUCAAUUUCUAAGUAGUGCAGUAGUUUGAUUUUGUGUUUUGAACCACAUUCAUUGUGUCUCACUUGUAUAAGAACUACCUGAUUUCAAGGAGGAACGACUAAGAUUUUGAUCUGACCUGAUACUGAAUUGAAGCUUGCUGAAGAUUCUGGAAUCAAUGUUUUUCAGAUGGGAAUAGAUUGUUCAAGGAUCAUGGAGCCAGUAGAUGAACUUAAAUAAGCGGGAAUCUUAAAGAAGUAGAUUAGUGCAAAAGACAUACAUAUACUUAAAUUCUAACCAGAGCAGCGCAUAUGUACUCAGAUUUCUAAGAAGCGCAUGGGAUGCACUCGGUUUCUAACACCUGCAGUGGAUCUGUAUUCAGUUCCUAACAAAUGUAGGUGACCUGCACUCAUUUCUAGGAAGUAUGGAGGAGCUAUACUCAGAUUAAUAACCAGUGCGGCAUAUACUCAGAUGUCUAAGCAGUGUAGUCAAUUUUGAGAGUAUAUGUACUGCUUAGGAAUUGAGUGCAGGUCCACUACACUACUCACUAAUUCGAGUGUAUAUAUGUUGAUUAUAUAAUAUGAUGCACUGAACAUAGCAAAUACUUCUAUGCUAACCAGUAACCAAACCACCAUCUUAACUACUUUCCACCUUAGUUUCUAACAGAUACCUCUUAAGUGUUUUCUCCUUAUUGUUGCAGUUAUAUUUAGUUGAUUGUUU